GCUCCUCCACAAUUACUGCAGAGUCACAAGUGGAAUUUCCGCCUGGUGUUUUAUGUCAGAAUCCGUAUGAAAGACUGCAGCAUGCUGAGUGAGCUUUCCAUUCUGGCUGAGGAUGUGAUGCAGGGUCCACCCCCUGCAGGCCACAGGUUUGCCUGGAGGCAAAGCAUUCAGUCUUUCCAUUGGCCUGACAAUUUGAACCAAGCUCGAGGCCCACAGACAAAAUGCAGUAGCAACUAGAGAGGGCCUGCCUGGUGGCCCUCCCCGUAAGAAGGUAUUCUUCCUGCUCCAUUGACAUCAGGCUUAUUAGCCAUGUUUCUGGAUUUGAUCCAUGUUAUAAUAAAGAGAACAUGGAGCAGGGCUGCAGCUGAUCUUCAAAGAGCAUGAACACAAGCCAGACAGAAGCCAUUGUUGUAAACCCUGAAGAUUUGGGGGAUAUUAUUGCAACACAACUCAGCCCAAACUGACUAAUACAACAAGUUUCUAUGUAUACAUGGAAAUGUAUGUGGUCUUAGCCUC